rnacentral:misc_RNA from 1 species
AAGUCGUAACAAGGUUUCCGUAGGUGAACCUGCGGAAGGAUCAUUAAAGCGCCGCCGACGUCGACCCCGGCCGCCCGGCUUGAGAUAUAGCUCGGACGGUGCUGGAGGUCGCCGGCAGUUGCCCAUUCUUGUCUACUGACCCAGUUGCCUCGGCGCGCCGCUCCCUAGUGGACGGUCGGAGGCCCUUGGACCCAGCGUCCAUGUGGCCCUGGCCAGUGCGCGCCGACGGACAGUUUAAAAUCUUUAUAUAUUGGCCGUCUGAGCGUAUAAAGCAAAUCAAUUAAAACUUUCAACAACGGAUCUCUUGGUUCUG